GACGAACGCUGGCGGCGUGCUUAACACAUGCAAGUCGAGCGGUAAGGCCCUUUCGGGGGUACGACGAGCGGCGAACGGGUGAGUAACACGUGGGUGACCUGCCCUCAGUUCUGGGAUAAGCCUGGGAAACUGGGUCUAAUACCGGAUAUGACUCCAUGACGCAUGUUGUGGGGUGGAAAGCCUUGUGCGGCUGAGGAUGGGCCCGCGGCCUAUCAGCUUGUUGGUGGGGUGAUGGCCUACCAAGGCGACGACGGGUAGCCGGCCUGAGAGGGCGACCGGCCACACUGGGACUGAGACACGGCCCAGACUCCUACGGGAGGCAGCAGUGGGGAAUCUUGCGCAAUGGGCGAAAGCCUGACGCAGCGACGCCGCGUGA
rnacentral:rRNA from 1 species